rnacentral:rRNA from 1 species
AUACGUAGGGGGCGAGCGUUGUCCGGAAUGAUUGGGCGUAAAGGGCGCGUAGGCGGCGCGGUAAGUCUGGAGUGAAAGUCCUGCUUUCAAGGUGGGAAUUGCUUUGGAUACUGCCGCGCUUGAGUGCAGGAGAGGUUAUCGGAAUUCCCGGUGUAGCGGUGAAAUGCGUAGAGAUCGGGAGGAACACCAGUGGCGAAGGCGGGUAACUGGACUGUAACUGACGCUGAGGCGCGAAAGUGUGGGGAGCAAACAGGAUUAGAUACCCUGGUAGUCCACACUGUAAACGAUGAAUGCUAGGUGUAAGAGGUAUCGACCCCUUUUGUGCCGGAGUCAACACAAUAAGCAUUCCGCCUGGGGAGUACGGCCGCAAGGUUGAAACUCAAAGGAAUUGACGGGG